GUCUAUGGCAAACGAGUAUAAGUGGCGUCAGUGUGUCCGGUGUGGGUUCGUGAUUGAACGCAUUGAUGGUUGCAUCCACAUGAAGUGCAAAUGUCAUUUUGAGUUUUGCUACAUUUGUGGGCUCGAAUGGAAGAACCAUGGAUCAUGUCAUUCUGCUUGCUUUUGCCACUCAGACACUGAUGAAGACGAUUACUCUGAUGAAGACGGUGUCGUCGGGGAUGGGACUGACGUUGAAGCGAAUGUAUAAUAAUGAGCAGAAGAUCAUAAGAGCAAACUGGAUUGCUCGGAUCAUUUGGGGAUCAACUGAAUAAUGGUCUUUUGUUAUUUGCUUUAUGUUUUUGCUUUUGCUUUUGAAAUUUAAGAUAAUGUUAUAAACAUAUUUAAGGGAUUUGUAAGCUCAAGACUCCAUCUGAGUUUAUGCAUUUUCGAAUUCACUGUU